rnacentral:rRNA from 1 species
CAGCAGCCGCGGUAAUCCGAAGGGGGCUAGCGUUGCUCGGAAUGACUGGGCGUAAAGGGCGCGUAGGCGGUUUUGACAGUCAGAUGUGAAAUUCCUGGGCUUAACCUGGGGGCUGCAUUUGAGACGUCAAGACUAGAGUGUGAGAGAGGGUUGUGGAAUUCCCAGUGUAGAGGUGAAAUUCGUAGAUAUUGGGAAGAACACCGGUGGCGAAGGCGGCGACCUGGUCCUUGACUGACGCUGAGGCGCGAAAGCGUGGGGAGCAAACAGGAUUAGAUACCCGCGUAGUCCCUGUCUCUUAUAU